rnacentral:tRNA from 1 species
GCGGGUAUAGUUUAGUGGUAAAACGCUCUACCUAUGUAUUUUGAUUAAGCGACCAAAAGAGCGAGGGUUCGA